rnacentral:lncRNA from 1 species
AAGCUUUGAAAGCAUAAGGAGCACUGAUAUGGCUUCUCACCUGUGUGGGUGCACAGGUGUUUUGUAAGGUUGCCCUUUCGUGAGAAGCUCCGAGAGCAUGAAGGGCACUGAUGUGGCUUCUCGCCUGUAUGGGUGCGCAGGUGCGCUUUCAGGCGAGCCUUUUCUGAGAAGCUCUGAAAGCAUGAAGAGCACUGAAAUGGCUUCUCCCCUGUGUGGGUGCACAGGUGUUUCGUAAGGUUGGACUUAUGUGUGAAGCUCUGAAGGCAUGAAGGACACUGAUAUGGCUUCUCACCUGUGUGGGUGCGCAGGUG